rnacentral:tRNA from 1 species
GCCGAAGAAAGCAGAGGGUUAGCGUCUCUUCGACUGGAUUUAGGUUCCAGCGCCGAGAGGCGUGGAGGUUCGAGUCCUCUCAUCCGCACCA